rnacentral:rRNA from 1 species
UACGUAGGCAGCGAGCGUUGUCCGGAGUUACUGGGCGUAAAGGGUGCGCAGGCGGCCCGACAGGUGUGUGGUGAAAUCUCCCGGCUUACCUGGGAGGGGGCCACGCAAACCGUUGGGCUUGAGGCUCGGGGAGGGGCGUGGAAUUCCGGGUGUAGCGGUGGAAUGCGUAGAGAUCCGGAAGAACACCGGUGGCGAAGGCGGUCUGCUGGGCCAAGACUGACGCUGAGGCGCGACAGCGUGGGGAGCAAACAGG